AAUAAUGAUAAGACUUCUCUCAAUAUCAAGUAGUAAUAUAUUUGCCUUCUCAUCAAAUCUAGUUUUUCUUCCUUUAUGUAUAAUCUUGUUUUUCAUGAUUUCAUGUUCUAAUUUAAUUCAAUUCUUCUUUGUUAGAUGUCUCUUUUUUUCAUAUUCUAUUCUAUGGACUUGUGCACAAAAAUUAAGCUUUUGUGUCUCUUUUAUAAACUAAAAAAUCUCGAAA
rnacentral:lncRNA from 1 species